rnacentral:rRNA from 1 species
GAGUUCUCGUUGAUGAUCGGUGCUUGCACCGAGAUUCAACAUGGCACGAGUGGCGGACGGGUGAGUAACACGUGGGUAACCUGCCCUUAAGUGGGGGAUAACAUUUGGAAACAGAUGCUAAUACCGCAUAGAUCCAAGAACCGCAUGGUUCUUGGCUGAAAGAUGGCGUAAGCUAUCGCUUUUGGAUGGACCCGCGGCGUAUUAGCUAGUUGGUGAGGUAAUGGCUCACCAAGGCGAUGAUACGUAGCCGAACUGAGAGGUUGAUCGGCCACAUUGGGACUGAGACACGGCCCAAACUCCUACGGGAGGCAGCAGUAGGGAAUCUUCCACAAUGGACGCAAGUCUGAUGGAGCAACGCCGCGUGAGUGAAGAAGGCUUUCGGGUCGUAAAACUCUGUUGUUGGAGAAGAAUGGUCGGCAGAGUAACUGUUGUCGGCGUGACGGUAUCCAACCAGAAAGCCACGGCUAACUACGUGCCAGCAGCCGCGGUAAUACGUAGGUGGCAAGCGUUAUCCGGAUUUAUUGGGCGUAAAGCGAGCGCAGGCGGUUUUUUAAGUCUGAUGUGAAAGCCCUCGGCUUAACCGAGGAAGCGCAUCGGAAACUGGGAAACUUGAGUGCAGAAGAGGACAGUGGAACUCCAUGUGUAGCGGUGAAAUGCGUAGAUAUAUGGAAGAACACCAGUGGCGAAGGCGGCUGUCUGGUCUGUAACUGACGCUGAGGCUCGAAAGCAUGGGUAGCGAACAGGAUUAGAUACCCUGGUAGUCCAUGCCGUAAACGAUGAAUGCUAGGUGUUGGAGGGUUUCCGCCCUUCAGUGCCGCAGCUAACGCAUUAAGCAUUCCG